AAUACGUUCCCGGGCCUUGUACACACCGCCCGUCACACCACGAAAGUCGGCAACACCCGAAGCCGGUGGCCCAACCCGUAAGGGAGGGAGCCGUCGAAGGUGGGGUUGGUGAGUUGGGGUG
rnacentral:rRNA from 1 species